GUUUCGAUAGUUUAAAAAGAAUGUAGCUUUGAAGUGGCUAAGGUAAUGGUUAUAUUUUGAGAUA
rnacentral:tRNA from 1 species